rnacentral:rRNA from 1 species
CCUACGGGAGGCAGCAGUGGGGAAUAUUGGACAAUGGGCGAAAGCCUGAUCCAGCAAUUCCGCGUGUGUGAAGAAGGCCUUCGGGUUGUAAAGCACUUUAGUGGGGGAAGAAACAGCUUGGCCACACCAAGCCUUGACGGUACCCCAAGAAUAAGCACCGGCUAACUCUGUGCCAGCAGCCGCGGUAAUACAGAGGGUGCAAGCGUUAAUCGGAUUUACUGGGCGUAAAGGGUGCGUAGGUGGCUAUUUAAGUCGGAUGUGAAAGCCCGGGGCUCAACCUCGGAAUUGCAUUCGAUACUGAGUGGCUAGAGUUCGGUAGAGGGCGGCGGAAUUUCCGGUGUAGCGGUGAAAUGCGUAGAUAUCGGAAGGAACAUCAAUGGCGAAGGCAGCCGCCUGGGCCUGGACUGACACUGAGGCACGAAAGCGUGGGUAGCAAACAGGAUUAGAUACCCUGGUAGUCCACGCCGUAAACGAUGAGAACUUGACGUUGGUUCGUUUUACGAAUCGGUGUCGCAGCUUAACGCGAUAAGUUCUCCGCCUGGGGAGGACGCGCAGUAGAAUACAANAGAUAGAGCGNGAGAGNGCGAGACGACGACGAGGGAGAGG